rfam:TPA: Bos taurus chromosome 4, whole genome shotgun sequence.
UUUUUAGUAUAAGUAUGUUCCAGGUAAUACUGGGGACAUAUUUAUACUAAAA